GAUGAACGCUGGCUACAGGCUUAACACAUGCAAGUCGAGGGGAAACGGCAUUGAGUGCUUGCACUGAAUGGACGUCGACCGGCGCACGGGUGAGUAACGCGUAUCCAACCUUCCCGUUACUGCGGGAUAACCUGCCGAAAGGCAGACUAAUACCGCAUGUUCUUCGAUGACGGCAUCAGAUUCGAAGCACAGAUCCGUCGGUAACGGAGGGGGAUGCGUCUGAUUAGCUAGUUGGCGGGGCGACGGCCCACCAAGGCGACGAUCAGUAGGGGUUCUGAGAGGAAGGUCCCCCACAUUGGAACUGAGACACGGUCCAAACUCCUACGGGAGGCAGCAGUGAGGAAUAUUGGUCAAUGGGCGGAAGCCUGAACCAGCCAAGUAGCGUGCAGGAUGACGGCCCUACGGGUUGUAAACUGCUUUUAUGCGGGGAUAAAGUGAGGGACGCGUCCCUUUUUGCAGGUACCGCAUGAAUAAGGACCGGCUAAUUCCGUG
rnacentral:rRNA from 1 species